CAGGUAUCACCAGCCCGGCCCGUGCCACAGCUCACGGUAAGCUUACCUCCCCGACCGGGCACCCAAGGCGGUGCUAAAAAAGGGCAGAUCUGGGGAUCAGAAUGAGGGUUUGCCAGGAUUGCUCGAGUCUCCUUCUUCUCCCUUCGAUCCGCUCAGAUGGACUGGCAAGGGCAGAAGGGCGCGGAGAUUGUGAUGCAGAUCAUGCUCGUCGUGUUCGCGAUCGCUGGUUUGGGGACCGGAUACACCAUCGGCUCCUUUCCGACGAUGAUGCUUACAUUCGCCGGUGGAGUCGUGCUUACCGCACUGAUCACUGUGCCCAACUGGCCCUUCUUCAAUCGCCACCCCUUGAAGUGGCUGGAUCCGAGUGAAGCAGAACGCCAUCCGAAGCCGCAGGUCGAUGUUGCUGCUGCCUCCAAGAAGAAGGCACCCAAGCACAAAUAGCAGUAGGUCUUCUAGCAUUCAGUUGACAUCGUUCAAGUUAAGGUUGCGGAAAUGCUUUAGUCUAAUGCUUUCCGAGCAAUGCCUGAGCCACCAGCAGCAGCAUUACCUGUGGAAGCUGAUGGAAAUGGUGAUCCAGAGGGUCACUGCCUGCAUCAGCCAACACUCACCUCCACCCAUCUCGCCAUGGUCGAAGCAAGGAUGCCCCACGUAGAGAUCUCGGACCAUGUCCGACAGGUGCAGGAUCAAUGAGAAUGAAGUGUUCGACGAGCUUGGAUGAAGGAGAAGAUCCAGUUGCUGACCAGAGCUUGCCUCAAGGAGUACAGGAGAACAGCAGAGUGGGAAGUGAGGGAAAGGUUCGCAUCAGUUGGCCUCGCUGAGAAGGGGUACAAAGUGGAGGAGAUUGCUUGGUCUCCAUGCAAUAUUUGCAGACCUUUUUAAGUAAAAGUAUCAGCAUGUUAUAAAAUAGGAAUAAGAUCUAAGUUCCAAUUAAAAACAUAAACCAUUAAAAUGUUAUGAAUUUAAAUAGGGAGUUGACGAAAUAUAACACGAGAAUAUUGUUCUAAGUAUUAGAAAACAAGAAUCGGUCUUCCACUCUCUCCUAUGCCGACGUAUAAGAGAAGUAGAAGUUCGGAAAGAGUAUUGUAUGCAAAUGUUGGCACAUCUUCAAUGAUAACGAGUCAGCAUGAUUGUGAAAUCAGUGGUGCGAUUGACAUGUCAGAUCCACGGGGUGCUUAGUGGGACAUAAUGUAUCUUCAAGUUAUCCACCUGGCCCCUCCAGAGUGUUUCGACACAUGAAAAGGUUUUGGUCAUGAUGUCUUGUUUAACGAGCAAUUAGACCAUGUCAUUUGUUGUGAACAUUAUUAUAUUGACUUCAAUCGUAGGGUUAUCGAGUGUUUUAUGAUUA